rnacentral:rRNA from 1 species
GACGAACGCUGGCGGCGUGCUUAACACAUGCCAGUCGAACGGAAAGGCCCUGCUUUUGUGGGGUGCUCGAGUGGCGAACGGGUGAGUAACACGUGAGUAACCUGCCCUUGACUUUGGGAUAACUUCAGGAAACUGGGGCUAAUACCGGAUAGGAGCUCCUGCUGCAUGGUGGGGGUUGGAAAGUUUCGGCGGUUGGGGAUGGACUCGCGGCUUAUCAGCUUGUUGGUGGGGUAGUGGCUUACCAAGGCUUUGACGGGUAGCCGGCCUGAGAGGGUGACCGGCCACAUUGGGAUUGAGAUACGGCCCGGACUCCUACGGGAGGCAGCAGUGGGGAAUAUUGCACAAUGGGCGGAAGCCUGAUGCAGCAACGCCGCGUGCGGGAUGACGGCCUUCGGGUUGUAAACCGCUUUCGCCUGUGACGAAGCGUGAGUGACGGUAAUGGGUAAAGAAGCACCGGCUAACUACGUG